CCUACGGGAGGCAGCAGUGGGGAAUAUUGCACAAUGGGGGAAACCCUGAUGCAGCGACGCCGCGUGAGUGAAGCAGUAAUUCGUUAUGUAAAGCUCUAUCAGCAGGGAAGAAAAUGACGGUACCUGAGUAAGAAGCCCCGGCUAACUACGUGCCAGCAGCCGCGGUAAUACGUAGGGGGCAAGCGUUAUCCGGAUUUACUGGGUGUAAAGGGAGCGUAGACGGCAGUGCAAGUCUGUAGUGAAAGGCGGGGGCUCAACCCCCGGACUGCUCUGGAAACUGUACGGCUGGAGUGCAGGAGAGGUAAGUGGAAUUCCUAGUGUAGCGGUGAAAUGCGGAGAUAUUAGGAGGAACACCAGUGGCGAAGGCGGCUUACUGGACUGUAACUGACGUUGAGGCUCGAAAGCGUGGGGAGCAAACGGGAUUAGAUACCCGAGUAGUC
rnacentral:rRNA from 1 species